AACUUUAUAUUCAUAAAAAUGAUAUUAGACUGCAAUUCUAAAGGAGUAAAUAAAUUUAUUAAAGUUU
rnacentral:tRNA from 1 species